AUGCUUCUGGGCGCUAAGGUGGUACCCCGCGACAAGAAGCAGCAAGGAGGCGGCGAGGAGGCGGAGAUGGGAGGUGACGGGAUGAGGGCAAGUGAGGUUGUUAGCAAGGAGAUGGAGGGCGUCCGUGCCAUCGUGCUCAAGCCGUCCGAGUCCCUCGACGAGUCGCGGUUCACCAAAAUCGCCGGCGCCGACUUCAACGACGCCGGCCUCGGCCUCGACGGCCUUCUUGGCUCGCUCGCCUCCACGGGCUUCCAGGCGUCCAACCUCGGCGACGCCAUCGACGUCGUCAAUCAGAUGUUAGAUUGGAGCUUGUCGCAUGAGAAGCCAAGCGAGGACUGUGAUGAAGCUGAACUUGACCCGAAAUACAGAGAAUCUGUCAGGUGCAAGAUAUUUCUUGGUUUUACUUCAAACCUUGUUUCUUCCGGUAUACGGGAUGUUAUACGGUUUCUGGCUCAGCAUCACAUGGUGGAUGUUAUUGUUACGACAGCUGGGGGUAUAGAGGAAGACCUCAUAAAAUGCCUCGCACCAACUUACCGAGGUGAAUUUUCUUUACCUGGGGCACUUCUACGGUCAAAAGGACUUAACCGGAUAGGAAAUCUGUUGGUGCCCAAUGAUAACUAUUGCAAGUUUGAAAACUGGAUCAUGCCACUCUUUGACCAGAUGCUACAAGAACAAUCUGCUGAGAAUGUCUGGACACCAUCAAAAGUGAUUGCUCGUCUUGGCAAAGAAAUAAAUGAUGAAAGCUCCUACCUUUACUGGGCAUACAAGAUUGAAGAGGCAACCCUACCUCAACUUAGAAAAGAACCUGACCACCUGAUAUUAUCAAGCACACUUCUCAAGGAAUCAGUCUCAGUCUGGUGCUUGAAGAAUUCUUCAUGUUUUUUUCUGGAAAACAAUAUUCCUGUAUACUGCCCAGCAUUGACUGAUGGAUCACUUGGAGACAUGCUGUUUUGUCAUGCAGUUCGCAAUCCUGGUCUUAUUAUCGACAUUGUACAAGAUAUAAGGCUGAUAAAUGGUGAAGCCAUUCAUGCAAGCCCAAGGAAGACGGGGGCCAUAAUUCUUGGUGGAGGCCUUCCAAAGCAUCACAUAUGCAAUGCAAAUAUGUUUCGCAAUGGUGCAGAUUAUGCAGUCUAUAUCAACACAGCUCAAGAGUUUGAUGGAAGCGACUCAGGAGCACACCCAGAUGAAGCAGUUUCAUGGGGAAAGAUCAAAGGUUCAGCAAAGCCUGUAAAGGUUCACUGUGAUGCUACUAUCGCUUUCCCAUUACUUGUAGCCGCAACAUUUGCACGGAGGUCUCGUAGUGCAAAUUCAACCAACUGA
rnacentral:rRNA from 1 species